UACGUAGGGGGCUAGCGUUGUCCGGAAUCAUUGGGCGUAAAGCGCGUGUAGGCGGCCCGGUAAGUCCGCUGUGAAAGUCGGGGGCUCAACCCUCGGAUGCCGGUGGAUACUGUCGGGCUUGAGUACGGAAGAGGCGAGUGGAAUUCCUGGUGUAGCGGUGAAAUGCGCAGAUAUCAGGAGGAACACCGAUUGCGAAGGCAGCUCGCUGGAACGGUACUGACGCUGAGGCGCGAAAGCGUGGGGAGCGAACAGG
rnacentral:rRNA from 1 species